ensembl:lncRNA
AUGUCUUUACUCCACGAGCGAUCAAGCGAAUGCACCUUGAGUGAACUGGAUCUGUUCACAGCCCCCCUGACCCAAUUUUCAAUCGAGGACAAAUGUUAUUCAGAAAUAUUACCAGUAACAGCGCUGACUGAUCGGGGACCUGUGGAAUUUUACGUGCCUGGAAACGGGCUGCAUUACCUGGAUUUAAAUGACACAUUGCUGAGUUUAAGAUUGAAGAUAACAAACGCGGAUGGGUCUGAUAUUGAUCCAGAUGCUAAUGUUGCAAUUAUAAAUUACCCUUUAAAUACCAUUUUCUCGCAAUGUGACGUCACAUUGGGCGACAGACUGAUUUCACAAGCCAGCUCAACCCACCCCUACAGGGCUAUAAUAGAAACAUAUUUAAAUUACUCAGAAGAAAGUUUGAAGACCCAGUUUAGCGCUGGGAUGUUUUACAAAGAUACAGUGGGCUCACACGACUCGUAUAUUGUAAUCAACGGGCCUAACAGGGGAUUAGUUCGGCGGGCAGCUUACAGUCAGCGGUCGCGAGAGUUCCACGUCAUGGGCCCGUUACAUUCUGAUAUUUUUUUCUGCGAACGAUUAUUGCUCAAUAAUGUGGAUCUGAGGGUUAAGCUCAUGAGAGCCAACGAUGCUUUCAGCCUUAUGGCGCCUCAGAAUGCUAAUUACCACCUGAAUAUUCUAGGAGCUUCAUUGUAUGUGCGGAAAGUUACUGUGUCCCCAGCUGUACGUUUAGGCCACGCUUCCGCUCUCAUGCAAGCCAAUGCACUUUAUCCCAUCUCCCGGAUUAACGUAAAAACAUUUUCAAUACCUGAGAAUUCACGGAUAUCACAUCAUGAGAAUCUGUUUCUGGGUUCACUCCCCCGUUAUUUAGUCAUCGGAAUGGUCGAUCAUCAAGCAUUUACAGGCCGUUAUGAUUUAUGUCCUUUCAACUUUCAACAUAACGAUCUGGAGUUCCUGGCUUUAUGUCAUGAGAGUAAGCAGAUUCCAGCCAAAGCGUUUCAACCCAAUUUUGCUGAGAAUCACUCCGUAAGAGAGUUUUACAGCCUGUACACCGCUACUGGAAGAAACCUAAAGGAUCUCUCCUUAUGCAUUGACAGACAGGAGUUUGAACAAGGAUAUACACUGUUUGUUUUCAAUUUGAAUCCAUCAGAUGACAGUCAGGCCUUAUCACCUGUGAUAAAUGGAAAUUUGAGACUAGAAAUGCGCUUCAGAGUACCACUGCCUCAUACAACUACACUGAUCGUUUAUGCAUGUUAUGAUUCCAUUCUCGAGAUCAACUCCAAAAGACAAGUUUUGGUCGAUUAUUACUGA